rnacentral:rRNA from 1 species
GUCGCCUGUUUAAUCAAAAACAUCGCUAAAAGUAGUUGAUUUUUAGUAGUACCUGCCCAGUGCGUAUUAUCUUGUUAACGGCCGCCUUAGCGUGAGGGUGCUAAGGUAGCGAAAUUCCUUGCCUUUUAAUUGUAGGCCAGCAUGAAUGGUUUGACGAGGGCCUCACUGUCUCUUAGUUCUAUGUUGAAAUUGUAGUGUAGGUGAAGAUACCUUCAUAAAAAAGUAAGACAAAAAGACCCCGUGCAACUUUGAAAAUUAAGCUAGAUUAAAUGGCAAAAGAUUUUUAGGUGGGGCGCCAAAAGAGGAAACUAUAACCUCUGCUGUUUAAGCUAAUUCUUACUGGAGUUGACCUGACUUAAGUCGAUCAAAGGAGAAGUUACGCCGGGGAUAACAGGCCAAUUCUUUAGUAAAGCUCGUAUUAACUAAAGGGCUUGGCACCUCGAUGUUGAAUCAGGGAUUAUAGCUUCAAGGCGUAGAUGCUUUGAUUAGUAGGUCUGUUCGACCUUUGAAACCCUACGUGAUCUGAGUUUCAGACCAGA